UGCAACUAAGUGCAUUAAAUACUAGAUAUGCC
rnacentral:piRNA from 1 species